rnacentral:rRNA from 1 species
GAUGAACGCUGGCGGCGUGCCUAAUACAUGCAAGUCGAGCGAACAGAUGAGGAGCUUGCUCCUCUGACGUUAGCGGCGGACGGGUGAGUAACACGUGGAUAACCUACCUAUAAGACUGGGAUAACUUCGGGAAACCGGAGCUAAUACCGGAUAAUAUAUUGAACCGCAUGGUUCAAUAGUGAAAGACGGUUUUGCUGUCACUUAUAGAUGGAUCCGCGCCGCAUUAGCUAGUUGGUAAGGUAACGGCUUACCAAGGCAACGAUGCGUAGCCGACCUGAGAGGGGUCUCGGCCCCCCGGGAACUGAGCCCCGCUCCAACCCCCUCGGGGGGGCGGCGGGGGGAAUUCUUCCGCAAGGGGCGAACCCCGAACGGGCCAACCCGGCGGGGGGGAGAAGGGUUUCCGGUUUUAAAACCUUUUUUUUUGGGAAAAAAAAAAUGUGUAAAAAACCAUGGCGGUUUUGCGGUUCCCAAAGAAAAAACCCCCGGCAACCUCCGG